UACGUAGGGUGCGAGCGUUGUCCGGAAUUACUGGGCGUAAAGAGCUCGUAGGUGGUUUGUCGCGUUGUUCGUGAAAUCUCACGGCUUAACUGUGAGCGUGCGGGCGAUACGGGCAGACUAGAGUACUGCAGGGGAGACUGGAAUUCCUGGUGUAGCGGUGAAAUGCGCAGAUAUCAGGAGGAACACCGGUGGCGAAGGCGGGUCUCUGGGCCGAUACUGACACUGAGGAGCGAAAGCGUGGGGAGCGAACAGG
rnacentral:rRNA from 2 species